AUCCGGAGCGAACCCCAAAAAUAACGUCUCAGUUCGGACUGUGGUCUGCAACCCGACCACACGAAGCUGGAAUCGCUAGUAAUCGCGAAUCAGAAUGUCGCGGUGAAUACGUUCCCGGGUCUUGUACACACCGCCCGUCACACCAUGGGAGUCAGCAACGCCCGAAGUCAGUGACCUAACCGAAAGGAAGGAGCUGCCGAAGGCGGGGCCGGUAACUGGGGUGAAGUCGUAACAAGGUACC
rnacentral:rRNA from 1 species